rnacentral:rRNA from 1 species
AUCCUACGGGGCGCAGCAGUGAGGAAUAUUGGUCAAUGGGCGAGAGCCUGAACCAGCCAAGUCGCGUGAGGGAGUACUGCCCUAUGGGUUGUAAACCUCUUUUGUCGGGGAGCAAAAGCCGGACGUGUCCGUCUGUGAGAGUACCCGAAGAAAAAGCAUCGGCUAACUCCGUGCCAGCAGCCGCGGUAAUACGUAGGGGGCAAGCGUUAUCCGGAUUUACUGGGUGUAAAGGGAGCGUAGACGGCAGCGCAAGUCUGGAGUGAAAUGCCGGGGCCCAACCCCGGAACUGCUUUGGAAACUGUGCG